rfam:Lachnospiraceae bacterium COE1 genomic scaffold acPFN-supercont1.1, whole genome shotgun sequence.
CCGUGCAGCCGGGGCGGUAGCGGUGCCCUGUACCAUCAAUCCGCUAUAGUUGGGGUGUUGGGCGGCAUGAGGGUCUGCGUUGAUGCAGCUGCCCUUUAUAAGCGGCGUUGAAGUUUGGGUCUUACGCAAUAUGUGCCAUCGAACCGUGUCAGGAUAGGAAUAUAGCAGCACUAAGGUGGAUUUCGUAUGUGCCGUGAGGGUGCCUGGCGGAGCAGGCUGUAAAGGUAACGUACAUGGGCAUAGGAUUCGAAGCCGUCCGCACGG